rnacentral:rRNA from 1 species
UACAGGGGGUGCAAGCGUUAUUCGGAAUUAUUGGGCGUAAAGCGCGCGUAGGUGGUUUGCUAAGUCCGGUGUGAAAGCCCUCGACUCAAUCGAGGAAGUGCAUUGGAUACUGGUAGACUAGAGUAUAGGAGGGGUGAGCGGAAUUCCUGGUGUAGAGGUGAAAUUCGUAGAUAUCAGGAGGAACAGCAGUGGCGAAAGCGGCUCACUAGACUAUAACUGACACUCUGGCGCGAAAGCGUGGGUAGCAAACAGG